rnacentral:rRNA from 1 species
UGCAGUCGAACGGUGAACACGGAGCUUGCUCUGUGGGAUCAGUGGCGAACGGGUGAGUAACACGUGAGCAACCUGCCCCUGACUCUGGGAUAAGCGCUGGAAACGGCGUCUAAUACUGGAUAUGUGACGUGACCGCAUGGUCUGCGUCUGGAAAGAAUUUCGGUUGGGGAUGGGCUCGCGGCCUAUCAGCUUGUUGGUGAGGUAAUGGCUCACCAAGGCGUCGACGGGUAGCCGGCCUGAGAGGGUGACCGGCCACACUGGGACUGAGACACGGCCCAGACUCCUACGGGAGGCAGCAGUGGGGAAUAUUGCACAAUGGGCGCAAGCCUGAUGCAGCAACGCCGCGUGAGGGAUGACGGCCUUCGGGUUGUAAACCUCUUUUAGCAGGGAAGAAGCGAAAGUGACGGUACCUGCAGAAAAAGCGCCGGCUAACUACGUGCCAGCAGCCGCGGUAAUACGUAGGGCGCAAGCGUUAUCCGGAAUUAUUGGGCGUAAAGAGCUCGUAGGCGGUUUGUCGCGUCUGCUGUGAAAUCCGGAGGCUCAACCUCCGGCCUGCAGUGGGUACGGGCAGACUAGAGUGCGGUAGGGGAGAUUGGAAUUCCUGGUGUAGCGGUGGAAUGCGCAGAUAUCAGGAGGAACACCGAUGGCGAAGGCAGAUCUCUGGGCCGUAACUGACGCUGAGGAGCGAAAGGGUGGGGAGCAAACAGGCUUAGAUACCCUGGUAGUCCACCCCGUAAACGUUGGGAACUAGUUGUGGGGUCCAUUCCACGGAUUCCGUGACGCAGCUAACGCAUUAAGUUCCCCGCCUGGGGAGUACGGCCGCAAGGCUAAAACUCAAAGGAAUUGACGGGGACCCGCACAAGCGGCGGAGCAUGCGGAUUAAUUCGAUGCAACGCGAAGAACCUUACCAAGGCUUGACAUAUACGAGAACGGGCCAGAAAUGGUCAACUCUUUUGGACACUCGUAAACAGGUGGUGCAUGGGUUGUCGUCAGCUCGUGUCGUGAGAUGUUG